AUGGAUAUACAUGAAGGAGGUGUAAUUCGCAAUUGUGUGAUCAAGCUGAGGGAGGAUUGUAAAAAGAGAAGGGACAAGGUUUAUGUUGGCUGUGGAGCCGGUUUUGGAGGUGACAGGCCUUUGGCUGCUCUUAAGUUGCUGCAGAGAGUCAAAGAGCUCAACUAUAUCGUGCUUGAAUGCCUUGCGGAGCGCACCCUUGCUGAACGUUACCAAGUUAUGGUUUCGGGUGGUGAUGGUUACGAUUCAAGGAUUUCAGACUGGAUGCGGUUGCUCCUACCUUUGGCUGUUGAGAGAGGAACUUGCAUAAUCACCAACAUGGGUGCAAUGGAUCCGCCUGGAGCACAGGAAAAGGUUAUUGAAAUAGCCACCAGCUUGGGGCUUAGUGUUUCUGUUGCUGUGGCUCAUGAGAUUUCCCUCUCAAAUAUAGGUUCAGCCUCUCAUGAGAAGUCAUAUUUGAUGGAAGGUGGUAUUAGCACCUAUCUGGGAGCGGCUCCGAUUGUUGAAUGUUUGGAAAAGUAUCAACCAAAUGUAAUUAUAACUUCACGAGUUGCAGAUGCUGCCUUAUUUUUAGCACCAAUGAUCUACGAACUUGGUUGGAACUGGGACAACUUGGAACAGCUAGCACAGGGGUCUCUGGCUGGCCAUCUUCUAGAGUGUGGUUGUCAACUCACGGGAGGAUACUUCAUGCACCCAGGAGACAAGUCUAGAGACAUGUCUUUAACUCAGCUCCUGGACUUGUCACUUCCUUAUGCUGAAAUCAGCUCUGAUGGAAAAGUAUGUGUAGCAAAGGCAGAGGGUAGUGGUGGAGUUUUGAACUUCAGUACAUGUGCUCAACAACUUCUUUAUGAGAUUGGGGAUCCGGGUGCUUAUGUAACUCCUGAUGUGAUAAUUGAUAUCCGGGAUGUUUCAUUCUAUCCAUUGUCAAGUUGUAAGGUCCUCUGUGCUGGAGCAAAACCAUCUGCAGUAUCAGUUCCUGACAAACUCCUGCGGUUGGUUCCAAAGGACUACGGUUGGAAAGGAUGGGGUGAAAUAUCAUAUGGAGGGUAUGAAUGUGUACAACGUGCCAAGGCUGCUGAGUUUCUGGUGAGAUCAUGGAUGGAAGAAGUAAUUCCUGAUGUUAGCGGCCAUGUAAUUUCUUAUAUAGUUGGGCUUGAUAGCCUGAAGGCAACUGGUCUUAGUGACAGUGCUUUGUGCCGGAUGGUUAGUGAUAUUAGAUUACGCAUGGAUGGGUUACUUCAAGCUAAAGGAGCACGCAGUCCAAUUUACUACAGAUUUUACUGCUUUAUAUACAAAUGGACCAGCUGGUGGUGGUGGUAUCAGCACUGGACACAAGAAAGAAAUCAUCCUUGAAAAAUAUUUGGUCAAGCGUGAACACGUAUUCUGGCAGACUGCAGUAAAGCACACCAGAGUGAUGAAAUCAAACAAAACAGGAAUUGGAUUUCCAGAUGGGAUAAAAACUAGUCCUCAUGUGUCUGUAUUCCCGUUUUCUGAGGCAAGUGAAGUUGAUUCUUCUACUGAUGUUCCAUUUUCUGGAAGAAACUCUCCUGCUCCAUCUGGCCAGAAAAUUCCACUCUAUGAUGUAGCAGAUAGCCGAGCUGGAGACAAAGGAAAUGACUUGAACUUUUCUAUCAUCCCACAUUUUCCUCCAGAUGUAGAGAGGUUGAAGAGGAUCAUAACACCGAAGUGGGUAAAGAAAGUAGUGUCAACUCUUUUAAAUUCUUCUUCUUUUCCAGAUACAGAAGCCAUCAAUGAAAGAGACAAAUGGGUCGACGAAAAUGUAAAGGUGGAAAUAUAUGAAGUGAAGGGAAUCCGAUCUUUGAAUGUAGUGGUUAGGGACAUUCUUGAUGGUGGUGUUAACUGCUCUAGAAGAAUUGACCGGCAUGGAAAGACCAUCUCCGAUCUCAUACUGUGUCAGCAAGUUGUAUUGCCUCCAUGGUUGGGUCGUUCAAGAACUCUAAUAGUUUGAUUUUCUCUAAUGGGGUUAGUUCUGCCUUACUCACCUGUAUAGCCAAUGUGCCUAUCUUUUACCAUGCGUAUAAGUCGGUUCUUCCUUUUUUUACUUUUAGUUGGGAACUCUUAUAGUUUGUAUUCUCAGAAUUCUUGGUUGCAAUUAUUUCGUGUUGUUGUGCUCAACUUAAUCUGCUUUGGUAUUAUACUUAUCACAGUAAGUUUUAUUGUGUAUAAAAAGAAAACUUAUGAAU